CUUUUUUUUUUUUUACGAAUAAAGAUUAAAUUAGUGUUUGGCAUUAUUGUACUUUGCAGAAAAAUAAACAGGGACUAUAUGACGCAUAAUUGCAAUUAAUUAGUCUCUUGCAUGUUAUAAUGAAAAAAGGUUCUUGUUAUAUUUACUCCACUUUAGACCUAGAACCCAUGACUUAAUGUGAUAUCCUUUAAGACCUGGCUUGAUAGACACUCUCAUUCUAAGUAGCUGGACUAAUUCAUUUUGUUUAGGCCAUAAGCUAAUAUAGGCUUCAUCCAUGCAUUUAUUAUUUUACAAAUUAAUCUCAUAUUAGUAAUAUGGAGAUAAAUUUAGUUUAUUUAGUAUUGGUGUUAACGAUAUGACUGUAUAAAUAAUAUAGAUCUAUAUUUUGCUAAUACCUACAUUAUGUGUCUCUGAUGUUCAACCAAUGUCUUUCUUAAUAUAUUUUACUCGAUGUAAAAAAAAC